UGGUUUUGGUCGCCCUUUGCAGGGCGCCAAGAGGGAAGCAGGUGCGAAUCCUGCGCAGUCCCGCUGCUGUGAGUUUCAAUCAGUUAGCCACACACCCGAAGAAAGCCACUGCGGCACGCCACAGUGCCGUGGGAAGGACGGGGAAAAGGUGGAAACAAGCCAGAAGACCUGCCAAAACC
rnacentral:ncRNA from 1 species